rnacentral:lncRNA from 1 species
UCGCAAGAGAAGCAACAUCGACAGCAAUGAGCACCACCACCACGGCAUCACAACCAUCCGCGUGACCCCAGUGGAGGGCAGCGAGAUAGGCUCAGAGACGCUGUCUGUAUCCUCCUCACGCGACUCCACCCUGCGCAGGAAGGGCAACAUUAUCUUGAUCCCUGAAAGAAGCAACAGCCCUGAAAACACAAGAAACAUCUUCUACAAAGGAACCUCCCCCACGAGGGCUUAUAAGGAUUGAGUGACCGCCCUUCUUGUCAUCAUUUUGGUGACAUCCCCACCCCCACCCCAAGACCACACAUUUAUUAUAGUACCUUGUGCUCUUUUGGGUAUUUUGUUGUUGUUUUGGUUUUGGUUUUUUGUUUUCUUUUCUAGUGGAUAUGGAGAGCCUUCUUGCCCAACUAGAUUGUUCACCAUCAGCCUGGAACUCUCACUGACCCACCACAGAAACCGUGGUGAUUUUCCACCAAGGGAAAGGAAAAGCACAAAGCAAGACCCGAACUAAUCUCAUCAUCUGAAUAGUUCUUAAGGCCUGUCACUGAGACUUCGCAGAGGGCAGUAUUAGGAUAAAGUGGUCUCCUCCGAUGUAUAGUAUUUAACUUUCUGAAUGUGCCAACUUUGAAGUUUCUUUUUUUUUUUUUUCAUUAUAAUUAGCGGUGGGAACCCAAAACACUACAGGUUUCCCCGGCAGCAGAGGCCACGCAGUAUUAUAUAGUAUUUAUUUUUGCAGACUCUGCACCAGAAGAGCAGACUGGGCGGUGCUGAUUACCACAGUACAUCUACCAUUUCAACUCUCAGACUCUGUGUAGCUGUGAGAGAGUGGUGUACAACCCCCUUGUCAGAGAAAUGCUACUUCAUUCAGAAGACGCCAGUGACUUUGUGGUAGCAUAGGCCAUUCUUGGCUUCCCUGUAGUGGCUCUCUCACAGUCAAAAAGAAAAAAGAAAGAAAAAACUGGACAGGGUUCUGAGCAUUUCUUUGAAAGAUUCUUUGUUUUCAACAUUUGAAAGUCUGUAGGGAUGUUUUCGGUGAGACGGAACAACUAGUUCUCCGCAUCGUUUUUCUGCUUUUUAUUUAAGUAUUGGUAAUGCUGGUUUCUGGUAUCUUUUUUUUUUAGUGAGUGCAUUUGCAUAUUUAAAAUACAUUGUUUUAGAGAAUAUUUUGAAAUUAUUAUAAUCACAUUUUCCAUUUUGUGGCUUCAUCUUAGUUUAUUAAGUUUUUUGAGGUUAUGCACACCAUUCUUCUAUUUUAAGAAAGCAACAGUGACCAUUUACAUU